rnacentral:lncRNA from 1 species
ACUAAGGAACAGUCCAAACUUGAAACGGUGGAUGAAACCACUUUACCAAUUCAAACUCUUUAGCAACCAUUUAUGAUUAUGACGUCGAAUGGCACAAGGUGUCAAUUUAGACUAAGAGUUAUUUGAAACGUGUUUCAUUUGUUCUUUACAAAGUGUUAGAUACAAUUUCACUGCACAUAAGAAUUUUCAAGCUCGGUUAAAAUGUAUUUUCAAGCAUACAAACCACAACUAAACAACACAAAUGUAAAUAUAUACGAUUGAGUCAUACUUCCUAGAAAAAGGCAAGCAAUGGACUGGUAAUAGGUAGGCCUGUUUUAGAGAGAUUGUGGUAAACUAAAAUUCAUUAUUACAUGCAAAAUGUUUUUGCUUCGGAGCAGAACACUGACUAUCUCUGUCUUUGUAUCUUUUUCUUCCCAGAGCUAGAGUGUGAUGCCUUGCUCCUAUUCAUGGCUCUUUGACCUAAAAAUUUUGAACAAUCUAAAUUAGUUAUUCAUUCAAUGGGAAAUCUGAAGUGGGGAUUACUUCGCCAAUAUUAUUAGCAAGUUUAUGAGGGAAAAGAAAAAUGGUCGAGGUUCCUUGAUCCUAGUAACAUGAGCUGAGAUUAUUUUGUCAGGGACUCAUGGUCAUGGCUGUAUAUAAUUUUCACAAGCAACACACCCUAUGUGACAACCUACCUUCGAUCACAAAGCUAUAUAAUCUAUAUAAUAGACAAAAAUGGAGCCUUCGAUAACCUAAAUACCUAUUUUUCCUACCAUAGUGUGAUGAGGCUCUGAAACUGCACAUACAGGGAUUUUCAUGGGACCAUUCAGGACUUUGAAAAAAGAUACAAAACUGCAUUCAGCCCCUCCAUCUAAGGGUACCUCAAUAAUAAACCAAUACUUCAUGAUAGAAUAAUCUGAAAAUCAUACUCCCUCCGUCCCAAAAUUCUUGUCUUAGAUUUGUCUAGAUACAUAUGUAUCUAAUACUAAAACGUGACUUGAUACACUCGUAUUUAGAAAAAUCUAAGACAAGAAUUUUGGGACGGAGGGAGCAUAUGAUAACAAUGCAAAAUAAUCUUGCAGCACCUCCUAAAACUGUAAAAGCUGUGAAAUUGGCAGUCAACUUACUAUCAAUAGGAAACACCACACUAUGAUAACAAUGCAAAAUAAUCUUGCAGCACCUCCUAAAACUGUAAAAGCUGUGAAAUUGGAAGUCAACUUACUAUCAACGGAAAACACCACACUGCACUAUAUUUUUCCAGGAACAAGAUGCUAAUAUGCUUUCCCGUUCCCACUGCAAGGAUGCAUGUCGUCUCCCCAUUCUCCACCGCGAGGACGCCGGCACGUCCCUGUUCUCCACCGCUAGGACGCUCAACUCCUCCCCUAUCUCCACCAUAAGGACGUUGGGCGCCUCUUCGAUUGCCACCCUGAGCACCACAUUGAGGUCGUCUAGCAAUGUACUGUUGAAGAAACUCCUUUUCAUUGUCCCCCUCUCUUAAUUUUUCACAGCACAUACCACUUGUUAUUCUACACCUAGGACGACUGUUCUUGUAGAUUUUGCUGACCACCAUAUUCUACAGUAAUUAGUAUGGUUGCAGUCCAAUGUGUUGAUUUUCAGCGGGCCAAUGUGUUGAUUGACUAAUUUUGUGCAUCAAAAACAGUAGGGCAAUGUUGAUGAAUCAGUUUUGUUUAGUAAAAAAUAGAGUCCGUAACAAUACUAUAAAAGCGCUAGUCUCCAAAGUCCACCAUGCCGCAAAAAACAUUUAGCACCCAUUUAAAUAUGGAUUUGGGUUCAUAUAUACACAAAGCACAGUAAUUAUUGUGAAGCAAGAAAAAGAAUGCUCCUACUAUCAGAAAUAUGUGCCAACAACAACACCAUCCUAUUAGAGCUCGAAAACAUGAACAAAUAAGGCACCUAUACCUGUUCUUGGAGCUGUGUCUGAACCUACAUUUGCAUAUGUAGAGCUUCUGCCAAGUUCCUAAGAAAAGGAGAAGGGGACAGAUGUAAAUUUUUAAGGUCAUGGUAUUUACCAUGCAUACAUUCCAGUGUAAUAAUUCAGAGAUAUUACUUGUUUUUGAACGGAGCAGAAUCAAUACGAUUAUUAGUAAAAAAUAGAGUCUGUAACAAUACUAUAAAAGUGCUAGUCUCCAAAGUCCACCAUGCCGCAAAAACAUUUAUCACCCAUUUAAAUAUGGAUUUGGGUUCAUAUAUACAGAAAGCGCAGUAAUUAUUGUGAAGUAAGAAAAAGAAUGCUCCUACUAUCAGAAAUAUAUGCCGACAAGAACACCAUCCUAUUAGAGCUCGAAAACAGGAACAGAGAAGGCACCUAUAGCUGUUCAUGGAGCUGUGUCUGAACCUCCAUUUGCAUAUGUAGAGCUUCUGCCAAGUUCCUGAGAAAAGCAGAAGGGGACAUAUGUAAAUUUGUAAGGUCAUGGUAUUUACCAUGCAUACAUUCUAGUGUAAUAAUUCAGAGAUAUUACUUGUUUUUGAACGGAGCAUUUCCACUGCUACCUAGUUGUACCUUCUUAAUGUCCGAGGAGGCCUCCUUGUCUGCAUAGAGUAUGCAUAAAAAUUCAGUAUAAAAAAGGACGACUCAUGAC